rnacentral:rRNA from 1 species
UGAGGAAUAUUGGUCAAUGGGCGCAGGCCUGAACCAGCCAAGUCGCGUGAGGGAGGACGGUCCUACGGAUUGUAAACCUCUUUUGUCGGGGAGUAACGUGCGGGACGGGUCCCGUAUUGAGAGUACCCGAAGAAAAAGCAUCGGCUAACUCCGUGCCAGCAGCCGCGGUAAUACGGAGGAUGCGAGCGUUAUCCGGAUUUAUUGGGUUUAAAGGGUGCGCAGGCGGCGCGCCAAGUCAGCGGUCAAAGUUCCGGGCUCAACCCGGUGUCGCCGUUGAAACUGGCGUGCUCGAGUGCGUGCGAGGAAGGCGGAAUGCGUUGUGUAGCGGUGAAAUGCAUAGAUAUGACGCAGAACUCCGAUUGCGAAGGCAGCUUUCCAGCGCGCUACUGACGCUGAGGCACGAAAGCGUGGGGAUCGAACAGG